AUGAGAUGGUCCAAAAAGCUUAUACUAACUGUCGUGGCGGAUGGUAUACUUUCAAACUCAAUAAAUACAAAAGUGUUGCUAUUGUUGCAGAUUUAUUUCAACAAUUCUUAAAUUUUCAUUUCAUCAAAGUUCAGGGAGACAAACUCUACAUAAUGUUGUGACACCUUUAUUAGAACCAAAGGAAUAUACAUUGUGAAAACUGACUUUGCAUUUGUUGCUAAGAGGGGGAUUAAUGACCAAAUGACUGAGACAAAAGAGCAACUAAUGCUAUUGUCCAGAAAUGCUACUGUUAUAAUAAAUGCAACAAGAACCAUGAUCGAGGACCUCAAAAACAAAGGAAACAUAUUGUAAACAAGCUGACGAAAAAGGUAAAACGGCUAGAUCAUCUCCAAUGUCAAGUGCUUUUCUGCUGACAACAUGAUAUAUUUGAGAUAGAACUUGUGUGAAAGCACUCUCCACAUUCAAUGCUUCCAGGGCUGAUGUUUCUAUGAAAAAUGUGUUCUCCCU